rnacentral:lncRNA from 1 species
GUCAAUCUCCAAACCGGCGAGGAAAAGGAAGAAGAGAAGGCCGAGAUUAGCCAGAGUUUCAAGAACCGUCAAGCUUUUCUUUGGGAACACAGCGUCUAGAAAAGCCUUGGAACGGCCAAGAAGAGACGGUCCAAGCAUAAUCCCACCCUGCAGAUUAAUUAAUGAUUAAUUAUUUUACUAAAAAGAUUCAUGGAAUUGUCUACAGAGAUGAAGGGGAAGCUUACAAUGACUUCUGCAACGACACGAGGCUGUCUAAGGGGUCUUAAAAGGUAAGCAAGGAGACGAGUGAGAAUGAUAACGAUGACAAUCUGAAGAAUGGCGAGAGGCAACG